rnacentral:rRNA from 1 species
CGCUAGCGGGAGGCCUAACACAUGCAAGCCGAGCGGUAUUUGUCUUUCGGGACAGAGAGAGCGGCGUACGGGUGCGUAACACGUGUGCAACCUACCUUUAUCUGGGGGAUAGCCUUUCGAAAGGAAGAUUAAUACCCCAUAAUAUAAUGAUUGGCAUCAAUUAUUAUUGAAAACUCCGGUGGAUAGAGAUGGGCACGCGCAAGAUUAGAUAGUUGGUGAGGUAACGGCUCACCAAGUCUGUGAUCUUUAGGGGUCCUGAGAGGGAGAUCCCCCACACUGGUACUGAGACACGGACCAGACUCCUACGGGAGGCAGCAGUGAGGAAUAUUGGACAAUGGGUGAAAGCCUGAUCCAGCCAUCCCGCGUGAAGGAUGACGGUCCUAUGGAUUGUAAACUUCUUUUGUACAGGGAUAAACCUACUCUCGUGAGGGUAGCUGAAGGUACUGUACGAAUAAGCACCGGCUAACUCCGUGCCAGCAGCCGCGGUAAUACGGAGGGUGCAAGCGUUAUCCGGAUUUAUUGGGUUUAAAGGGUCCGUAGGCGGACCCGUAAGUCAGUGGUGAAAUCUCAUAGCUUAACUAUGAAACUGCCAUUGAUACUGCGGGUCUUGAGUAAAUUUGAAGUGGCUGGAAUAAGUAGUGUAGCGGUGAAAUGCAUAGAUAUUACUUAGAACACCAAUUGCGAAGGCAGGUCACUAAGAUUUAACUGACGCUGAUGGACGAAAGCGUGGGUAGCGAACAGGAUUAGAUACCCUGGUAGUCCACGCCGUAAACGAUGCUAACUCGUUUUUGGAUUUUCGGAUUCAGAGACCAAGCGAAAGUGAUAAGUUAGCCACCUGGGGGAGUACGUUCGCAGA